rnacentral:lncRNA from 8 species
CAUAUCUAUCGCUUGACAGUGAUCCAGCCUGUGCUCUGAGGACCCAUUGACCAUAGUUAGUGUUUAGUUAGUAUAUUAAAACAUCCAGAGGUCUGGACCUGUUCAAGAAAUGUGGAUUUCUAAGAAGGUUCUGUUUGUUUCGUUUGGCGCAUGUUUCGUAACUGAGAGCUGACAUUUUAGGAUAUCGAUUUCACAAAAUGGCGGAUGAUGUUGGGAUGAGCACAGAAGGGGGAACACUGAGACCUAGCUUCUCAUCAGAUCUCCUGAAAGUGAGUAAAUCAAUAUAUUUUUCUACCUCUCCAUAUCACAGGUGUAUUGUACAUUAUCCACAUUGUGCUGGAGCUGUACAGUACUGUCAGAGCUUUGCUGUAGAAAUAGAGGCUGAUCUGUGUGUGUGUGUGUGUGUGUGUGUGUGUGUGUGUGUGUGUGUGUGUGUGUGUGUGUGUGUGUGUGUGUGUGCGCAUUCAUAUGUGUGUUUUUGUGAGAGUCCAACAUCCCCAUCAGCAAAGAGGCAAGCCGCGUGAGAGCGCUCAGACCGGGGCUACGUCGGCGCAUUGAAUUGUGGGAUAAUGGCACCGUGGGGUAGAGCGGCUGUAGUGAGGCUGACUCUAGUGGUGUCACGGUAACAGCUCUGACAGUGUCUGGCUAACAAUCCCUAAGUGUGGUCAUGACUGACAAUCCCUAGAGGCUCUGACUCUGUUCAUGCUCUCUUUCUUGUGUGUGCUUUUAGUUCAUACUCGCUUUUGUUGCUUUUGUUGUUGCUUUUAGUUCGGUAUUUGAACAUGUUGCGGUCUUUGUAAAGCUGUAGUUUUCUGACUUUUUAUCCUCAAACAGUUUUUUACCUCAGGAGAAGCUCUUCGAUGAUUUGUCACAGCAAUCUACCUCUUGUAUAUCCAUGUUUGUUACAGUAUGUUAGCAUUUUGAGCUAAUGUUGGCUCUCCAUUAGCUUGUGUUCAUUCCUUCCCCCUUCCUGAGGUUUACAAAUGUGGGCUCCAUUGCACUAGGCAAGCUAAGGUAUUUAAACAAUUGUUAAUAUUUGAACCCUUGUGAGUACAUAAUCAUCUCUUCACAUCAUCCAUUUGACAUAACACUUAUGACAACAAUAAUCAGCUCGCGUCCCUGGCCUUGACCUACCCAGAAUGCAUUGGUUUCCUCUUAGUAGAUGCCAACCACUCUAAGGCAAAGAGGGAAGGGAAGUGCUACAUCACUACUGCCACCUGUGUCCCUGAGAAGUGGAGACAGUAAUUACCAGCUGUUUGUGUGACUUACAGUACGACGACAGAGGGGCCUCGGUUAAUGAGAGCCGGGGUUAAGAAGCAGACACCGGGCUGUAAUUGGCCCAUAAAGCCAAACAACUUCUCAUGUAGGAUUAUUAUUCAUAGAUCACACACACACACAGAGUGAGAGGGAGGCAUUAUACGAUCACGUCAACAACACUUUGAUCCACGGCGUCAAAUAUUGUUCCAGUCCACACAGUCACAGACAGACAUGCAUCAUCGCCUGUCAAUCUGAAUCAACGGUGGGAAUUAAGAGCGGUCACGUCGGGAUCAGGAUGGAGGAUAAUAGAAACACUCUGUGACCAUGGUCACAAAGCAUCUGAUGUUGUGGUUGUCACUGGCUGUUGGCUCUCUCUCUCUAGUGUUUGUGUGAGUGUGACAAAGAUUGUGACACUCAUAGCAAAAUCAAAAUAAUAGAUAAAAGAAACAUCCUCUUCAAUAAUAUCCCCAUGUUUUCCCUGAGAUUAUACUUGGAUGUAGUUAUAUGAGCAGGUGAAAGUGCAAUAUGCAUGCUGUACAUUAAUACCAGUGUAAAGUACUUAAAUAUAAAAACUUGAGUACUACUUCAGUAGUUUUGGGGAGUAUCUGUAAUUUACGAUUUAUAUUUUUGAGAACUUUUACUCUUACUUCUGUCACGGGCUGGCUCGAAAACCAACAGGAGAGGUAGAGUCAGGCGCAGGAGACAGAGAGUUCUUGACCACACUUCUUUAUUAAAAGCAACUGGAUGUGGUCGCCAAAAGUAUAGGGGCGCAGCCCUUAAAUUAUUCUGCGGUGGUGUACACAAUGAAAAUAAACCACAGGCAGAGGGAAAAAACCCAGUACACGUUCCUCUAGCACAAAAACCGGACAAGCAACACAAUCACGUACAAACACAUACAUCCUACGCUAAACUAAAUAACCCCCCCUUACUAAUGACUAACGAAAAACAGGUGCGUGCCUCCCUAGACCUAACCAACAGAAAGUGAAACAAAAAGGGAUCGAUGGCAGCUAGUAGGCCGGCGACGACGACCGCCGAGCUCCGCCCGGCCGAGGAGGGGCGCCACCAUCCGUCACUGUCGUGACAGUACUCCCCCCCUGACGCGCGGCUCCCGCAGCGCGCCGACGCCGGCCUCGAGGACGCCCCGGAGGGCGAGGCGCAGGGCGAUCCGGAUGGAGGCUGUGGAAAUCCCGGAUGAGUGCUGGGUCCAGUAUGUCCUCCACCGGUACCCAGCACCUCUCCUCCGGGCCGUACCCCUCCGAGUCCACGAGGUACUGCAGGCCCCUCGCCCGGCGUCUGGAGUCCAAGAUGGACCGGACUGUGUACGCCGGGGGCCCCCCGAUGUCCAGGGGGGGGUGGAGGGACCUACCGUACCUCAUUUUCCUGCAGCGGACCAGCUACCACCGGCCUGAGGAGAGACACAUGAAAUGAGGGGUUAAUACGAUAAUAAGAAGGAAGUUGUAAUCUGUAACACACCUCGUUUAUUCUCCUCAGGACUUUAAAUGGCCCCACAAACCGCGGACCCAGCUUCCGGCAGGGCAGGCGGAGGGGCAGGUUCCGGGUCGAGAGCCAGACUCUCUCCCCUGGGGUGAACACGGGGGCCUCGCUGCGGUGCCGGUCAGCGCUCGCUUUUUGUCGCUCCCUGGCUCGUUCCAGGGAUUCCUGCACAGCGUCCCAGGUCUCCCUUGAGCGCUGAACCCAUUCCUCCACCGCAAGGGCCUCCGUCUGGCUCUGAUGCCAUGGCCCCAGGACCGGCUGAUAACCCAACACACAUUGGAAUGGUGACAUGUUGGUGGAGGAGUGGCGCAAAGAGUUCUGAGCCAUUUCGGCCCAUGGCAUGAACCUUGCCCACUCCCCUGGCCGGUCCUGGCAGUAGGACCGCAGAAACCUGCCCACCUCCUGGUUUAACCUUUCC